GCGGAUCUAGUUCAGUGGUAGAACGCCAGCCUUCCAAGCUUGAUGUCAGGGGUUCGACUCCCCUGAUCCGCU
rnacentral:tRNA from 2 species